rnacentral:rRNA from 1 species
CAGUCGCCGCGGUAAUACGUAGGGUGCGAGCGUUAAUCGGAAUUACUGGGCGUAAAGCGUACGCAGGCGGUUUUGUAAGACAGGCGUGAAAUCCCCGGGCUCAACCUGGGAAUGGCGCUUGUGACUGCAAAGCUAGAGUGCGGCAGAGGGGGAUGGAAUUCCGCGUGUAGCAGUGAAAUGCGUAGAUAUGCGGAGGAACACCGAUGGCGAAGGCAAUCCCCUGGGCCUGCACUGACGCUCAUGCACGAAAGCGUGGGGAGCAAACAGGAUUAGAUACCCGGGUGUCCCUGUCUCUUAUACA